GAGAAGAGCAGAGGGAGCUGAGACAGCUGUGCUGAACACUCCAGGACUAACCCAUGGUGCCCAGUUGGUCCCCACUGCCCAAGCUGCAGGCCCUUCUCUAAGGCAGGGAACAGCCAGCAUCUGAGGGAGGCUAAGACCCAUCCUUCUACCUCUCUCUGGUCUUCCCAACAGAACACAGGAUUGUGAUGGCCCCACAUGGAUCAAGAAAGCAGCCCCCAUAGACUUGCUCAUGAGCCAGUCUGAUGGAGGCAGUUCUUCAGCUGAGGACCCCUCUUCUUCCUUGCGUAACUUGUGUCAAGAAGAUACAGUCUAGCCGGCACAACCAUCAAUGGUGACCCAUCACCAUACGGCAGUGUGUAGAAUGUGGCAGAACGUGCCAAGUGAAGAGCUUCCACACAUGUUGGUCACCCUCCAUGACACAUUUGGAGACUGUGGCUUUGAAGAGCAGGUCCUUUACCAAGGCACGAUGUUCUGCGUAUAGCACACGGCACAGGAAUGAGGAGUCCUGAGGGGACAUAAGGUGAAAGGAGAGUGAACUUCCACAUGCCAGUCCAAAAUAUGUCACUCCUAAGCAGGGGCAUCUGUGCCCCAAGGAAGGACACAGAAAGGGGUAGCUUGGAAGCGAUGCUGGGAAACGCACAUUUACUAAGGGGCAGCUGAUGGGGAGCCAGUCUGGCUUGUCUCUGCAAACCUAAUCAAGGAUGCCAGUAAAGAGUGAAGACAAGAGGGGUGAUGGUGCAAGCCUCUAAGUGGAGUAUAAAGGAGAGGAACAGGAACGUCACCAGCAGAAGGACAACCUGAAUUACACAGUAACACCCCUGUCUUACAUAUACAUGUGUGUGCAUGCAUGCAGUUCUCAUCCCUUCCUGUCAGCAGCUUUGAAAGGCCAUUUAUGAAGGUCCUCCAAGUUCUCUGGUGCUGCCCUGGUUGAGGUUGUCAUCUCUGAAUGUGUCACUAUCAGUUUAAUGGCUCACUUCCCUCAUUGACUUAAAAGCUGCAAGAAGUGGGGCCUUACAUCCCUGCUCGUAAACUCUAGAUUCCUGACUCAUUAGUGAGUUGUGGUAACUAGUCUCCGAUGAAUCCCCGAGAGUGACUGGUUCAGAUGACGGGUCUCCAACCCAGAAUUCAAGUCCCAACUCUUAAGCUGUGUAACCUACUUCCCCUGUGAAAUGAGACCAAGAGUGGCUUAACAAGAGAGGGUCUUAGUUCUUAAGCAGGAUGAUUCACCCCGAUAUCCCACGUGUAGUGUUGAAACAAGACACAGCAAAUCUCAACGCCCGGGCAAACAUCCCCUGGAUCCAAGAAACCAGCUUGUAACUCAUCGCCUCUUCCUGCCGUGUGAAGCCGAGAACACUGUCCCACCAGGGUGAGCAUCCUCAGCUGGAAAAUUAGCCAAUGACAGCUUAUUAGUAUUUAUGCUAAUGAGGUGUACAUUAGACGCCCCCGCCCUCUGAAAAACCUAUUUGGCACAUAGAUUAGUAUCCAUUUCCGUUAAAUGAAGGUAAUGACAGAUAACUGGAUCGCUACCCUCAAGAUGUUCACAGAUCCACAGAGGAGGCAGAGGACAUCACACAAGGACUGACUGUCUGGUACAACUGAGAAGAAGACAGAGUUCACUGUGACGGCUGAGGGGAUGAUGCCUGUGCACUGGUUCAGGGUAGCUAGGAAAAAAGAGAAGCUUAGGAAAGCUUGCAGAGCGUGCGUGCGUGCGUGCGUGCGUGCGUGCGUGCGUGCGUGCGUGCGUCUGCGAUAGUAUAGGGCUGACUCCUAAACAGGCAUGUGAUAACCACGGUGGAAGGAUUGACCUGCAGUGGGGCCUCAGGAACAAAUGGAGGACUUGAACUGUGUGGUGUCCUCAACCUGUGUGAUAGCCGAGACGGGAAAGUGAGAAGCAAUAGGCAGUGAGGCUGUGAGUUCCAGGCUGAGCAAAGCGCGGCUUCUCGUCAUGGUUUCUGACCGGCUGCUCAAGCAAGUCACUUGACCUCUCCGAGGGCCACGUGGAAGGAGUGUGACACCAAGGGAAGGAACAUCCUGUGGCAAAAGCUCAAGAAAACAAUGCAGAGGGGCCUGGGGCCUUUGUUGGAAACAUCAGGAACGCCAAGUAAAGAAGAGAGGCACAGACGUCUGAGUGUGAGGGCAAAUCAGAGAGCAAGGCUGGCAGUAGGUACAGAGAGGGUCCUUUACAUAGUGGUAAUACAUGGACUACACUCUUCUUAAUACUGAGCUUUCCAUCGGAA